UACGGGGGGGGCAAGCGUUGUUCGGAAUUACUGGGCGUAAAGGGCGCGUAGGCGGCCUUCUAAGUCGGACGUGAAAUCCCUCGGCUUAACCGAGGAACUGCGUCCGAUACUGAAAGGCUUGAAUCCGGGAGAGGGAUGUGGAAUUCCAGGUGUAGCGGUGAAAUGCGUAGAUAUCAAGAGGAACACCUGAGGUGAAGACGGGUUGCUGGGCUGACACUGACGCUGAGUGCGCGAAAGCCAGGGGAGCAAACGGG
rnacentral:rRNA from 1 species